CAGAUAUUAGUUUAAUUAAAAAUUUUAAUUUUGGAGAUUAAAGAUAAGAGUUAUUUUAUAUCUGA
rnacentral:tRNA from 1 species